rnacentral:misc_RNA from 1 species
AGGAAACAGUUUUAAAUUCAUCAAAAGCAGCAAAAGAGACGAAAGAUGCCGAAGCUCAAAUUCCACCCAAAAACAAAAGCAAACACAGACGUAGAAACAUCUGUCUUGGUGUGACGGCGGCUGUCAUCGUCGNNNNNNNNNNUGAUCUUGGCAUUAACGGUGUUCAAAGCCAAAGAACCCUCUACCACCAUCGACUCAAUCGCUCUAGAUAACCUGCGUGUGUCCUUGGACUUGGCCAGGUUGGGCG